rnacentral:sRNA from 1 species
GUUUGUUUCUUUACUU